UACGUAGGCAGCAAGCGUUGUUCGGAAUUACUGGGCGUAAAGAGUGUGUAGGCGGUGCUCCAAGUCUGGUGUGAAAUCUCCCGGCUUAACUGGGAGGUGCAUUAGAAACUGGAUGCUAGAGGAUGGGAGAGGUAAGCGGAAUUCCUGGUGUAGCGGUGAAAUGCGUAGAUAUCAGGAGGAACACCUGUGGUGUAGACAGCUUACUGGACCAUUUCUGACGCUGAGACGCGAAAGCGUGGUAGCAAACAGG
rnacentral:rRNA from 1 species